rnacentral:lncRNA from 1 species
GAUGCUGCAAGCCCACCGCCCUUUUUGCCUCUGAAUAUACUCUUAGCCGACUCUCCCCAUGUGACGAUGCGGCCAGCGAGGGAGCCUUGACCUAUGGACUGUCCAUCUGAAAAGAUGACCAGGUCCCAUAGGCCCCCUGGUCACGAAUUACAGCUGGGAAUGAGGAGGCUGGGCCGGUGGGGCUGGGAGGGGUGGCAGUUGUGGGGCCACUUACCAGAUGGGCAGCCGAGGACACUGAGUGGCUUUGGGUGAGAGACUCUGUGGCUGUGAGUCCUGUCCUCAGACUCUGCCAAGUCCCAAGGGAUAUCCAGGUAACAAAAGCGCAUUUGUCAGCUCCAGAGCCCUGGGGAAAACCUUCAGGGGUGAUUAAUUCACAGAACAGCCUGGUGUGGAGAUGGCCCUACCUGCUUUUUGCUUCAAUAGGCUCUGGAAUGUUCUGUCCCCAACAAUUGUGAACAAUGCGGCCAGAGUCUUUUCUGACACCGUUAGAACAAGUGUGUUUGGGAAGCCUUCUAGAACGUCUGGUGAAAAGAAAAGACCCACUGACUCGCAGACAUCCCAUCUGCCCUCUUUCCCAUUCCUGUUUACUUUUGGGGGCCAUGCUAGAGGUUGGCCCCAGGGACUUUGGAUUCAUGCUUCAUUCGCUGGAAGAAGAAAGGAAGGCAGACCUUCUAGACUCAGUAGAUGAAACUGACUUUGCCAGGCUCAGGACACUGCUCCAGCCAGGAGCGUGGGGACCUGUCACCUCAUCACACCAACAUUCUAAAGCGGCUGUCGCCUCUGCAGAGGGAGACCCGGUGCAGGUGGAAACAAGAUGGCCAGGGGCUAUGCUGGGAGCCGGCGAGAUAGAUGUGCCACCUGCUGGCGGACAGCUCUCCGGUAGACAGCAACAGCUCACUGCGCGUACACACGGUACCUGGUUUCUUAGGGGUCCUCCCUUUGCGGUCCGGACUCAGGGAUGGGAGUGUGGUUGGUUUUUCUUUUUCUGUCUGUUUCCAUCACUCCAAAAAGUAGCCUCAUGCCUAUUUGCCAUCAAGCCGCCAUCACCGUGUCCCGGGCAGGCACUUAUAGAAUAGUUAUCCCGAUUCUGGAACUUCCCAUAUAUAGAAUUGUAAAUUGUGGACCAUUGUAUCUGUUACAGUGUUUCUGAUUAUGAUUUUUUUUUUUUUUGAGACAGAAUUUCGCUCUUGUCACCCAGGCUGGAGUGCAGUGGCACGAUCUUGGCUCACUGCAACCUCCGCCUCCCGGGUUCAAGCAAUUCUCCUGCCUCAGCCUCCCGAGUAGCUGGUAUUACAGGCACGCCCCCACCCCACCCCAUGCCACCACACCCAGCUAAUGUUUUUGUUUUUAUUUUUAUUUUAUUUUAUUUUAUUUUUUUGAGAUGGAGUCUCGCUCUGUUGCCCAGGCUGGAGUGCAGUGGCGUGAUCUUGGCUCACUGCAAGCUCCGCCUCCCAGGUUCAAGCAAUUCUCCUGCCUCAGCCUCCUGAGUAGCUGGAACUACAGGCGCCAACCACCACACCCGGCUAAUUUUUUGUAUUUUUAGUAGAGAUGGGGUUUCACCAUGCUAGCCAGGAUGAUCUCAAUCUCCUGACCUCGUGACCCCCUUGGCCUCCCAAAAUGCUGGGAUUACAGGCGUGAGCCACCUUGCCCGGCCCUGAUUAUGAUUUGAUUCGGCUGUUUUGAUGGGUAUAUCAGCAGUUUGUUUCUUUUAAGCGGUGAUGGGAAUAUAACUUUUGUUUAUCUGAUCACCUGUUGAUAGAGAUUUUGAUUGAUCUGAGUUUGGUGCUAUCAUGAAUAAAAUGCUAUAAACAUUUCUGUAAAGGUUUUUUGUGAUUUUUUUUUUUUUUUUUUUUGACACAGAGUCUCACUCUGUACCCAAGACUGGAAUGAAGUGGCAUGAUCUCAGCUCACUGCAACAUCCGCCUCACUGGUUCAAGUGAUUCUCAUGCCUCUGCCUCCUGAGUAGCUAGGACUACAGGUGCGUGCGUCCACACCCAGCUAAUUUUUGUAUUUUUAGUAGAGACGGGGUUUCGCCAUGUUAGCCAGGCUGGUCUCAAACUCCUGACCUCAGGUGAUUCAGCCACCUCGUCCUCCCAAAGUGCUGGGAUUACAGGAGUAAGCCACCAUGCCAGGCCAAAUGUCUGUUUUCAUUUCUCUUGCAAUAGCCAGGUCAUACGGUAAAUGUGUGGUCAGCUUUGUAGAAACUACCUCUCUCCUACCAAUAAUGGACCAAAGUUGUAGUCACUCUGCAUCUGGACCUUCAUCUGAUGCGGUCAAUUCAGUGGCUGUGUAGUG